UUCUAAGUCAAUUUACAAUCAAGACUAUCAAGUCAGGCAUGAUGGCACACACCUUUUAUCCCAGAACUUAGAAGGCAGAAGCAGGCAUAUCUCUGUGAGUUUGAAGCCAGUCUGGUCUACACAGAGAGUUUCAGGCCAGCCAGGCCUAUAUUCUUGGGACUGCCCUCUACAGACUGAGGAACUGUCUUUUAAAAAACACAAAACCAACCGAUACUGGCUUGUGUUUGAAUACACUGAGCUGUUUGCAUAGCCAACAGUGAGUAAUUCAGAUAAAUGGCUGCAUCGAAAAGCAAGCAGUCACAAGAUGAAAAACUCCGAUGAAAACAGAAACUACCACUGUUAUUAAGCUACAAUCUAGUCUCUCUUUUUUUUUUUUUUUUUUUUGGUUUUUCGAGACAGAGUUUCUCUGUGUAGCCCUGGCUGUCCUGGAACUCACUCUGUAGACCAGGCUGGCCUCAAACUCAGAAAUCCACCUGCCUCUGCCUCCCAAGUGCUGGGAUUAAAGGCGUGCGCCACCAUGCCCGGCUCUAGUCUUAGAUUUUUAUAAGCUAUAGAUUUCUAUAAUGAUACACCACAUAAAGGUCAA
rnacentral:lncRNA from 1 species